rnacentral:lncRNA from 1 species
AAGAAAGAUGGACAGAGUUGCAGAACUUAGGAGCGUCUCCGAAGCAGAGCGUGAGAGAAUGCUCUAUCCAUCUCCUCUCACACCAGCUUAUAUCAAGGCCAGUUUGGCCACAAAAAGGCAAACCUUUGGUGAUGAAGAUGUAGAAGAUGCAUGCAGAAGUUUCGAGAACUAUUUGGUGGAGAUGAUGGUUGAAGAGGGAAAAGUAAGGGAUUUAGCGGAUGUGGAAGAGCUUCUGUAUUGCUGGAAAAACCUCAAGUGUCCUGUCUUCAUUGGUUUGGUCUGCAGAUUCUACGGAGAGCUAUGCAAGGACUUGUUCUCUCCUGAUGUUGACAACACCGACGUUGAUAGUCCCAAAUCUCCCAAAUGAUUCUGCG